rnacentral:rRNA from 1 species
UACGUAGGGUGCAAGCGUUGUCCGGAAUUAUUGGGCGUAAAGAGCUCGUAGGCGGUCUGUCGCGUCGGACGUGAAAACCCAGGGCUCAACCCUGGGCCUGCGUUCGAUACGGGCAGACUAGAGUUCGGUAGGGGAGACUGGAAUUCCUGGUGUAGCGGUGAAAUGCGCAGAUAUCAGGAGGAACACCGAUGGCGAAGGCAGGUCUCUGGGCCGAUACUGACGCUGAGGAGCGAAAGCGUGGGGAGCGAACAGG